CCUAUUUUCUCGGAUUUUGACUCGAGCAUUUGGUGUCUACGAUUCACAAUCUCUCUCCAUUUUGUUCAGGAUCGGUGAUCCUGUCUCUGUCGGUGAUGUGUACCUCGUCUUCUCCUGUGUGUUUUUUCCUGCUUGAAUCUCUGCACUAGUUGUUGCUGAUUUCAAUUUAGAAAGGGACGGAAAUUCCGGUUUUUUUCUUUUCUUUUUUUUUUUUUUUUUCUAGAUUUUUCUGACAUUAAUCUCUGUUGGCUAAUGUAGUGAUGUGCCUUGCCACGUGGCAAGGCCACUGGGGCAAACGGAGGGGGCACCAAAAGGGCAUCCCAUUUGCAAAUAAAUAAUACGCAACGCAGCCAAAUGGUUACUGCUCUAAAAACCCUGUAAUAUCAAAAUCCCCAUCUCCUUUGAUCUCUUCAACUUGUAUCGACGACCCCCUUAGCGACAUAUGGGAACCGGGGGAGUUAUUAGUGAUAAGUGGUCUAUGAGGAUUCUGUGGCUCUGUGCAAUCGGAAGUGCAGUGGGCCUAUAUAUGGUUGCUGUAGAAAGACAAACACAGAACAGGAACCGGAUGUUGGCUGCGAAUUUGAAGGCAAUGGAGGAUGAAGGCAAGCAUGCUUAAAUACAGGCAUGUAACAUGAUAGAAAGUUUGUAAAAAAAUUUUGAAGUGCAUUCCCAGGUUUCCAGAUUGGGCCAUCUGUUUAUGCACGAUGUUUCUUCUUUUCCCAUUUUCCCCCUCUCAUGACAUCAAAUUUUCCAAACUGGUCGGCAGGCCACUCUUUGAUAACUAUUAACUAACUUUCUUCUUAAGUUUAGACCAUAUAUCGAGCUUGGUUGGACAGGUUCAACAUC